rnacentral:tRNA from 1 species
UGGAAAGUUAAAUUAGAAUUUAAAUUUUAGUUUAAUUAAAAUUUAAUAAUUACAAUAUUAAGAUAUAAAAAUUUAUAAAUUUAA